CUUUAGUUUGAAACCCCGAAACCAGGUGAGCUACCCCGAGACAGCCUAUGUAAACAGGGCUAACCCGUCUCUGUGGCAAAAGAGUGGGAAGAUCUCCGGGUAGAGGUGACAAGCCUACCGAACCUGGUGAUAGCUGGUUGCCUAAGAAAUGAAUAGAAGUUCAGCCUCAUGUUCCCUCAGACCAAAACCCAAAAUUAAAGGUUGCACUAGGAGAAAUACACGAGAGUUAGUUAAAGGGGGUACAGCCCCUUUAACAAAGGACACAACCUUAACAGAAGGAUAAAGAUCAUAAUAAUUAAGACAGGCUGUUUAGGUGGGCCUAAAAGCAGCCAUCCAAACAGAAAGCGUUAAAGCUCAAACAGCACAAAGUUUAUUAUACCGAUAAAAGAUCUUACUCCCCUAAUAGUUAUUAGGCUAAUCCAUACUAUUAUGGAAGAAAUUAUGCUAAAAUGAGUAACAAGAGGACCUGCUCUUCUCCAAGCACAAGUGUAAGCCAGAUCGGACAAACCACUGGAGAAUAACGAACCCAACCAAAGAGGGCACUGUGUACAACAUAAAAACCAAGAAAACCCCACAACCAAAUAUCGUUAAUCCUACACUGGGGUGCUAUUUUAAAGGAAAGACUAAAAGAGAGGGAAGGAACUCGGCAAACACAAGCCUCGCCUGUUUACCAAAAACAUCGCCUCCUGCAACUAAAUUAAGUAUAGGAGGUCCAGCCUGCCCAGUGACUAUAAGUUCAACGGCCGCGGUAUUUUGACCGUGCAAAGGUAGCGCAAUCACUUGUCUUUUAAAUGAAGACCUGUAUGAAUGGCCAAACGAGGGCUUAACUGUCUCCCCCCUCCAGUCAGUGAAAUUGAUCUAUCCGUGCAGAAGCGGGUAUAAUUAUACAAGACGAGAAGACCCUUUGGAGCUUAAGGUACAAAAAUUAACCACGUCAAGCAACUUCAUAAAAGGAGAAAACCUAGUGGGACAUAAAGUUUUACCUUCGGUUGGGGCGACCACGGAGGAAAGACCAGCCUCCGAGUGGAAUGGGCUACAUCCCUAAAACCAAGAGAGACAUCUCUAAGGCGCAGAACAUCUGACCAGAAAUGAUCCGGCCUUAGGGCCGAUCAACGAACCAAGUUACCCUAGGGAUAACAGCGCAAUCCUCUCCCAGAGUUCAUAUCGACGAGGGGGUUUACGACCUCGAUGUUGGAUCAGGACAUCCUAAUGGUGCAGCCG
rnacentral:rRNA from 1 species